UACGAAGGGGGCUAGCGUUGCUCGGAAUCACUGGGCGUAAAGCGCACGUAGGCGGCUUUUUAAGUCAGGGGUGAAAUCCUGGAGCUCAACUCCAGAACUGCCUUUGAUACUGGGAAGCUUGAGUCCGGAAGAGGUGAGUGGAACUCCGAGUGUAGAGGUGAAAUUCGUAGAUAUUCGGAAGAACACCAGUGGCGAAGGCGGCUCCCUGGUCCGGUACUGACGCUGAGGUGCGAAAGCGUGGGGAGCAAACAGG
rnacentral:rRNA from 1 species